CAAGAAAAAGAAGAAAGAAAAGAUGGGUAGGGAAGUGUGCAAAACUAAAAAGAAGAAGAAAAAAAUAAAAAGAAGUAGUAGAAAUUCACUAGCAAUAUUCGGCAGAGGAAGGAGAACAGUUGAUAGAAAAUUAAGAAAAAACAAAAGCUAAAGCCGAACUUUGGGAAAUGAAUAAGUUUCGGCACCACUACUGAUCACCUCCCUUGAUCCACUCCUCAAAACUCUCCUACUAUCCCUCCAAAAACCGUCCACUUCCCAC
rnacentral:lncRNA from 1 species